ensembl:lncRNA
CUCACUUAGCGUUGUGUUGGCGUGCGCAUGCGCAGUGGCGCAGAGUGCGUGUGCGGUUUCGGUUAGCUCGGGGAGAGAGAGAGAGAGAGAGAGAGCGAGAGAGAGCGAGCGCCGGGAGAGGAGCUGUUCAUAUUUCACUGCUUGCCGAGAAACGACCAUUUACAUGUUGGAUUCUGAAUCAUUUUAAAGAAAAAGACUCGACUCCCGACGGAAUUGAACUCUUUCUCGUUUUGAGCCGACCUCCAAAGAUCAACCACGAUUCGAAACCACAGACGUGUCCUGCAGCCAUGAGGAGCAGUGGAGAUCGCUAAGAAGUAGACAGCUGCAACCACCAGGAGCUGCAAAAACUAAGAGACAGGAAAUGCACGAAACAUACAGGCAGGUACGUGAUUGACAGCUCAGCAGGUACAUGGGGUGUGUGUGUGUGUGUGUGUGUGUGUGUGUGUGUGUGUGUGUGUGUGUGUGUGUGUGUGUAAAAAAUUCCCUGGCUCCAGAUCAUAAACACAGACUCGUACCACUUCUUGCUGUCGACGCGAACGAGAAAGGCAGUGACGGAAGAGGGUAGAAAACCAACACAGCCGUAAACGACAGUCUUUCGAGAGCCGAUAACGAAAGUACCCUUGCACUUGAAGUAAAUCAUCAUUACUAUCGUACGUGUUUUGUUUACCGUGUGUGCGUGAGGAGUAAGGUGGAGUGCUUAGCGUGUCAUUACAUUAUCAAAUGAACUCAUCAUCUCUUAGCUGCCAGCCAUCAUUCAUGACUAAGAUGAUGUAAUUGCCAUCAUUAGUGUUUACUCGCGCUGUGUGCGGUCUCGCACUGAAGCAGGUGAGACUAAUGAGUAAGUGAGCAACGUUUUGAAGUGUCUUCAAGAUCCGCACGUCUGUGUACGGUAAUCUUACAUGAAACAUGGUCUACCAGGCAAGAAGCGCUUGGUGUCUAAGGAAGCUUGUUCUCAGUAAGCUCGAAACCAAAUCUUCAUAUACUUCAAAUGACGUUGUCAGGCAUCCAUCCAUCCAUUUUCUUCCGCUUUUUUGGGUCCGGGUCGCAGGGGCUGCAGUCUAAGCAGAGCUGGCCAGACCUCCCUCUCCCUAGCCACAUCCUCCAGGUCCUCCACGAGGAUACCCAGUCACUCCCAGGCCAGACGAACAAUAUCAUCUCUCCAUCUAGUCCUUGGUCUGCCCUGGGGUAUUCACCCCGAUGGACAUGCCUGAAACACUUUUCCAGCAAGGCUUCCAGGAGGCGUCCUAGCCGGAUGCCCAAACCACCUCAGCUGGCUCCUUUCGAUGCAGACUCUACUCUGAGCUCCCGGCGAAUGUCCGAG